rnacentral:rRNA from 1 species
UACGGGGGGGGCAAGCGUUGUUCGGAAUUACUGGGCGUAAAGGGCGCGUAGGCGGCCUACUAAGUCGGACGUGAAAUCCCUCGGCUCAACCGGGGAACUGCGUCCGAUACUGGUGGGCUCGAAUCCGGGAGAGGGAUGUGGAAUUCCAGGUGUAGCGGUGAAAUGCGUAGAUAUGACAUAGAACACCAAUUGCGAAGGCAGCUGGCUACACAAAUAUUGACACUGAGGCACGAAAGCGUGGGGAUCAAACAGG